AAGGAUUAACUUUUUUAAAAAAACUUAAAAUAAAAAUAGAAAAACUUAUUUUAAGUUAAUUACAAAUAAAUAUGAAAAAAAA
rnacentral:tRNA from 1 species